rnacentral:rRNA from 1 species
GAUGAACGCUGGCGGCGUGCCUAAUACAUGCAAGUCGAGCGAACAGACGAGGAGCUUGCUCCUCUGACGUUAGCGGCGGACGGGUGAGUAACACGUGGAUAACCUACCUAUAAGACUGGGAUAACUUCGGGAAACCGGAGCUAAUACCGGAUAAUAUAUUGAACCGCAUGGUUCAAUAGUGAAAGACGGUUUUGCUGUCACUUAUAGAUGGAUCCGCGCCGCAUUAGCUAGUUGGUAAGGUAACGGCUUACCAAGGCAACGAUGCGUAGCCGACCUGAGAGGGUGAUCGGCCACACUGGAACUGAGACACGGUCCAGACUCCUACGGGAGGCAGCAGUAGGGAAUCUUCCGCAAAGGGCGAAAGCUUGACGGAGCAACGCCGCGUGAGUGAUGAAGGUCUUCAGAUCGUAAAACUCUGUUAUUAGGGAAGAACAAAUGUGUAAGUAACUAUGCACGUCUUGACGGUACCUAAUCAGAAAGCCACGGCUAACUACGUG